UACGUAGGGUGCAAGCGUUAAUCGGAAUUACUGGGCGUAAAGGGCUCGUAGGCGGCCAACUAAGUCGGAUGUGAAAUCCCCAGGCUUAACCUGGGAACUGCAUCCGAUACUGGAUGGCUUGAAUCCGGGAGAGGGAUGCAGAAUUCCAGGUGUAGCGGUGAAAUGCGUAGAUAUCUGGAGGAAUACCGGUGGCGAAGGCGGCAUCCUGGACCGGCAUUGACGCUGAUGAGCGAAAGCCAGGGGAGCAAACGGG
rnacentral:rRNA from 1 species